rnacentral:tRNA from 1 species
GCGGGGGUGCCCGAGCCAGGUCCAAGGGGGCGGGCUUAAGACCCGCUCGGCGUAGGCCGGCGUGGGUUCAAAUCCCACCCCCCGCACCA